GCCCCACUCACCAACUCUGUCAAUGUCAAGUGAACCCUUCUCUUUGUCAAAAUGAAGAAUAUUUUUUAUUUUAAUUCUAAAAUCUACUUAAGGCAAUGUCUGGCCUCAUAGCCACAUUUUCAAACAGACGUUCUUAAUUGGGUUUUCUGGACAAAUAAGAAUCUUCACCGGACAACCCUUCACCUCGUGGGAGGACUCCCUGAACCUGGAGCCCCCAAUAUCGCCGGCGAUGCUACAGUAAUUUAGCAUAGACACCACACCAUCAACCAACACCUGUAGGCCUGGUGGCCAGAACAUCCACGUCGCCAGAGCCCGUUGCAGAACAACAGCAAGACACCAAGAACCUGCAGACAGAUACCAAGUGCCAUCGAUAAGUAUAAUCUCUGAUCUGUAAAGUUUCGGCAAGGUCUUUUAAAUUAUUUUUUUUAAUACAUUAAUUAUGUCUUUUAUGAAAAAUAAACAUGAUUAGUUAAA
rnacentral:lncRNA from 1 species